UGGGGAAUAUUGGACAAUGGGCGAAAGCCUGAUCCAGCAAUACCGCGUGUGUGAAGAAGGCCUUAGGGUUGUAAAGCACUUUCAAUUGGGAGGAAAACCUGUCGGUCAAUACCCGGCAGCUUGACAUUACCUCUAGAAGAAGCACCGGCUAACUCCGUGCCAGCAGCCGCGGUAAUACGGAGGGUGCGAGCGUUAAUCGGAAUUACUGGGCGUAAAGCGUGCGUAGGCGGUUCGUUAAGUCAGAUGUGAAAGCCCUGGGCUCAACCUGGGAACUGCAUUUGAAACUGGCGGACUAGAGUUUAGUAGAGGGGAGUGGAAUUUCAGGUGUAGCGGUGAAAUGCGUAGAUAUCUGAAGGAACACCAGUGGCGAAGGCGACUCCCUGGACUAGAACUGACGCUGAGGUACGAAAGCGUGGGUAGCAAACAGGAUUAGAUACCCUGGUAGUCCACGCCGUAAACGAUGUCGACUAGCCGUUGGUCCUAUUUACAGGAUUAGUGGCGCAGCUAACGCAUUAAGUCGACCGCCUGGGGAGUACGGCCGCAAGGUUA
rnacentral:rRNA from 1 species